GGGCUGGGGCUCAGUGGUAGGGUGCUUGCCUAGCACACAUGAGGCACUGGGUUCAAUACUCAGCAUCACA
rnacentral:tRNA from 1 species